CUUGAGUUUGAUCCUGGCUCAGGAUGAACGCUGGCGGCGUGCCUAAUACAUGCAAGUCGAGCGAAUGGAUUAAGAGCUUGCUCUUAUGAAGUUAGCGGCGGACGGGUGAGUAACACGUGGGUAACCUGCCCAUAAGACUGGGAUAACUCCGGGAAACCGGGGCUAAUACCGGAUAACAUUUUGAACCGCAUGGUUCGAAAUUGAAAGGCGGCUUCGGCUGUCACUUAUGGAUGGACCCGCGUCGCAUUAGCUAGUUGGUGAGGUAACGGCUCACCAAGGCAACGAUGCGUAGCCGACCUGAGAGGGUGAUCGGCCACACUGGGACUGAGACACGGCCCAGACUCCUACGGGAGGCAGCAGUAGGGAAUCUUCCGCAAUGGACGAAAGUCUGACGGAGCAACGCCGCGUGAGUGAUGAAGGCUUUCGGGUCGUAAAACUCUGUUGUUAGGGAAGAACAAGUGCUAGUUGAAUAAGCUGGCACCUUGACGGUACCUAACCAGAAAGCCACGGCUAACUACGUGCCAGCAGCCGCGGUAAUACGUAGGUGGCAAGCGUUAUCCGGAAUUAUUGGGCGUAAAGCGCGCGCAGGUGGUUUCUUAAGUCUGAUGUGAAAGCCCACGGCUCAACCGUGGAGGGUCAUUGGAAACUGGGAGACUUAAGUGCAGAAGAGGAAAGUGGAAUUCCAUGUGUAGCGGUGAAAUGCGUUGAGAUAUGGAGGAACACCAGUGGCGAAGGCGACUUUCUGGUCUGUAACUGACACUGAGGCGCGAAAGCGUGGGGAGCAAACAGGAUUGGAUACCCUGGUAGUCCACGCCGUAAACGAUGANUGCUAAGUGUUANANGGUUUCCNCCCNUUUANUGCUGAANUUAACGCAUUAANCACUCCNCCUGGGGAGUACNGCCNCAAGGCUNAAACUCAANGNAAUUGACGGGGGCCCCCCNANCNGNGGAACAUGUGGUUUAAUU
rnacentral:rRNA from 1 species